rnacentral:rRNA from 1 species
GACGAACGCUGGCGGCGUGCCUAAUACAUGCAAGUCGAGCGAACCCUUCGGGGUUAGCGGCGGACGGGUGAGUAACACGUAGGCAACCUGCCCGUAAGACCGGGAUAACACACGGAAACGUGUGCUAAUACCGGAUAACCCGCAGAGGCGCAUGCUUCUGCACGCAAAGGCGGAGCAAUCCGUCACUUACGGAUGGGCCUGCGGCGCAUUAGCUAGUAGGUAGGGUAACGGCCUACCUAGGCGACGAUGCGUAGCCGACCUGAGAGGGUGAUCGGCCACAUUGGGACUGAGACACGGCCCAGACUCCUACGGGAGGCAGCAGUGGGGAAUAUUGUACAAUGGGGGGAAACCCUGAUGCAGCAACGCCGCGUGAGUGAUGACGGUCUUCGGAUUGUAAAACUCUGUCUUCAGGGACGAUAAUGACGGUACCUGAGGAGGAAGCCACGGCUAACUACGUGCCAGCCGCCGCC